AACAGCGGUCCGGAGUGAAUGGGUUAUCAUUGAAGAGGAAGACCCCCAUUCGCACCAACUUGACCGCUGU
rnacentral:sRNA from 1 species